AGAAAAAAAAAUCCAUAAUGGCCGCUCGCCCGCCAUUUCUCUGCUUUAUUUCAUUAUUCAUUAUUGUUCGUUAGAGUUAGAGUAGACUAUCCAGUAUCCUUCAGUUUUCAAGUGUCUCUGCUCUAAUGAGCUCGUGUUAUUGGGGCACGAACCUUGUUAAAUGUGCAAUGAUUUCGUCAUUUCGUGUUGAACCAUGUUAACCUACAAUGUGUAUUUUCUUUCAUGAAAUUUGAAACCUGUUGCUGUUCGUGCAAUAGCAGAUUCAUCAAUUUUGGAAAACAAGAAAAGCCACCUGAUCAGAGAGGAGAAUUUCAGUAAUUCGUGGUAUUAAUGACUUGCAGUUCACUGAGAGAAACUGGAAAGGCGAAGCAAUCGGAGUGCCAAUAUCGUGAGGGUUUGGUAAACCGCCAGUUGCCGUUUCGGAAUCAUCACCGGAUGUUGUCAGUCAUGAAUACUUUUUGGGCGUGUUGGCAUAGUGCUCCAGUUCUCCAAGGUCUCACAUUGUUUUCUCAAAGGUGGAACGCGACAGAUGGCAACGUCCACCAUGUUUCAUUUGUAUUCCUAUAGCCGUGACACACUGACAUGCCAGGAAGAGCAAUUUUUGUCAAACAUGCGCGAUGGCCAGUUGCCUUAUUCAUUGACUUCCUUCGUUUAUUUCCAGCUGAACGUAAAGUGCCGAGUUUCUACCAAGUCCUCAACCGUCCUUCCUACUAUUUUAAUCAACACAGAAUACGAUUUAUUCUUCUUCUAUAAUAUUGCUGGAUGAUUCCUCGAUGCUGCUGUCAUUUGCCGAUUCAUCUUUAAUAGUUAACGGAAAGUGGUUCGUGAUCCUGGUUUGACCUGCUGAAGGCACUCGGAUAAAUAGGCGCACCGAGAAUUCGGAGAUUGAUUUAGUGUUUACUAAAAGUCCGGCGAUCAAAAGAAAACUUGGAAAGAUGACUCAACUUUAUCAAUGAUGUAGUUCAUUUGUCCUCGUCCCACUGCCGGCUCCAUUUCCACUUCCACUGGGACCAUCUCGUACCUACAGGACGAAAUACGAUGUACAAAGAAGAGUCGAGAUGAAAUCUUAAGGUUUCAUGUGUGCUGUGGUUACGUGAAAUUUAAACUGGCCGAAAGGAAGUCGAGGACAACGCCUCCUUUAGCUGACCCUGUCAAUCGUUUGGGGUUACCACUCCAACGUGGCUUGAGAGGGGGAAUUAAUUACCAGAUCACGCGGAGAUGUCGACCCCUUAGCAGAUUCGAUGUCGACGUGGAGCGAAUGAAACAGCCGAACGAAACGAAGGAAAUGAAUACAGCAGAUGGCUAUUCCACUUUUCAGAUUUCAGAUUCGGAGUGACACGAAAACAAAUAAUCUGCUGCUAGUCUGCUACGAAUGUGGGACGAUAGUCAUCGCUUCGAGAAAAUUUAUACCUUACACUUACAGCAUGGGCAUAGAUGACAGUCAAGAAGAUUUAUUUGUUGGGCCUUGGGGGGGGGGGUGGAAGUGGGGACUCCCAACAGGAAAUGAUAGCCAACCCACCCCUUUUGGAUAGGUGCCAUCGCUAUGGGAGAAUAGCGUGUCGAGUUAUCAGUUCCCAUCCAUCGCAGAGCAGAGUGACGUGGGCGAUGGAUCAAUCCAGUCUCAGCAGUUGUUUUGUGAAAUGGCACCUUGUUCACACCAAUUUCAUCAUCAUUGAGAUUGCAGAAAGGGGAAUGCCGAUUUAAAAUUACCAGUUAUUCAACUCUAAUGGAUCUCUAGUCAAGUCGUUAUCAUCGCGUCAUCUGGUCAAGGUCGUCUAGUAUAUGAAACGAAACAAACCAACGAGAAAUCGUGCCAAAAAUUUAAGUUUUGACCGGUGGUGCUGUGCGCUUGAUUUGGACACGUCUUUGGUGUAACACAAUGGUGCCGGAGGUGCCCACUACAACGCCAGACAACGCGAACGAUUUCCUGUAUGAUGUAAACUCUCAUUCCAAUUUUUCCUAAAGUAACCCAGCAGCCGAAAGUGCGCACUAGGAGCUCCUCCUCGUCGUUGUCUUAUCUCUGUUGUGAAUAACGGUCCCAGUGCCGCAUUUGGAGGUUAACCAACUCUCGCUGACAUUUUUCUUUUUGCUUAACUGGAUCUCGAGGGCGAACCGGUUUUCUGGCUGACAUAUGCGACGAACGUGUGCGCAUACAUACUAAAGUUAAUGUCAGCAUUUACAAAGACUUGCCAAACCAUCCAGUGAUCCUCCAGCUUUUGUGACGUCCAGUUAAAUAAGCACCAGUUUGUUGUGCGAUCGAUUUGUUUUGUUGUCGUCAUGAUUUUGAGGUGGCGAAUCAAGUGCUUCUACGGGUUCGCUUUGCUGGUGACAGCCUCGUUAAGUGGCUGCAGUUGUACUGACAAACAUUAUGGGGGUGCUAACAAAUCACCAGCAGCCCGUACCGCGAUCAAAAGUUGGCGGAGGAAAGCCCAAGAGCAAUUGCUAAAUCGUUUGCAACCGUAUCCAGAAAAUCUUUUAACGCCACCGCAAAUCAUUGAGAAACGAGGCUAUCCAGUCGAGAUUCAUGAAGUCACAACAGAUGAUGGGUACAUUUUGGAUCUUCACCGCAUUCCGGCCAAAUCGUCGAGCGGUCCCAAGCAAGUGGUUUUCCUCCAGCACGGAGUUGCGGAAAGCUCCGCCACUUGGCUCGUCAAUCCUUCCAGUCGAUCCCUACCAUUAUUGCUGGCUGAUCAAUCGUACGACGUGUGGCUCGGGAAUGUGCGGGGCAACAGGUAUUCCAGGAGACAUGUCACCCUCAAUCCUAAAAAAGCGGAUUUUUGGAAAUUCAGCUGGGACGAAAUUGGGAAUUAUGACCUGCCGGCCAUCAUCAAUUAUAUCCUGAAAGAAACUGGCCAGCCGAAAAUGUCUUACAUCGGACACUCGCUGGGAUGUGCUACGUUCUUUAUCGCUAUGCUCAAACAUCCGGAGCUCAACGAUAAAAUUGACACCAUGGUUGCGCUGGCACCGGUGUCGUCCUUUGCCCAUUUCACCUCUCCAAUAUUUCGCCUUCUGGCUCCGCUCGGUAAAACCUUGGAGAAAUUCUUCAGGCUGAUUGGAACUUGGGGAUGGCUGGACGGCGAAGGUUUCGGAGAGAUUUUCUUCCGCGCCGUUUGCGGAUACACUUACAAACAAGCCAAAUUUUGCAGGGACUUGAUCAUUUUCGUCACUGGGCCAAACCCAAAUAAUCUUGACCCGGCUAUUGCUUUGCUUGCCAUUUCGAACGUUUUUCGAGGGACAUCAGUGCCAGUGAUUGCGCAAUUUGCCCAAAAUUUCCAAGCAGGGGAUGUGUUCCAAGCUUACGACUACGGAAAAAUAGGUAACGAGAAACGAUAUGGAUCGAAAAAGCCGAUGGAAUAUAAUUUGAAAAAAGUCACAGCUCCGGUGUACGUGUUUUCGGCGGGUAAAGACCGAAUCGUCUCCCCACUGGAUGUCGACUGGCUUGAGACUCAACUUGGAAAUCUCAAAGGAUCUAUUCGUAUUCCAUAUUACGAUCACAUUGAUUUCAUCUGGGGGACAGAUGUCAAAGAAAUCGUGUAUGAUCAAGUCAUGGCCCUUUUACCGCCACCAUAAGCUCAAGCGUACCUCUUCGUCUUCUAUGCAAAUGAAAUUCAUAUAUAAACAUGUCAGAAUUAUUUAAGGAUGGAAGAAAAGGCCAUGAAGGGCUAGGACCCGACUCUUGGACGUUUUUCAAAAAGGUGUUGGUUGCUGAUGGUGAAAAACAAAUAGGUGCUGAAACAUUUUAAAAAUAGAAAAAACCAAAUAGGUAAGAGCCAAGCUCGAUGAUGGGUCAAUCGGCAACUCGUCACCGGACACAUAAACAAGUAUCCAAAGGAACUCGUUCGUAAGUAUAAAAGAACGGCCUAUUAUGCAAAUUAGUUCAGCCAAAAAGAAAUAUGACCGUCCAACAGGAAGGCGAGAAAGGCUGGUUGUAUAGGUUACCCACACACAAAAAAAAAACUUGAUCAUAGAGGGAAAAUGACGGUCUAAUUCUCAAAAUGGUCCGUAAAACGACAGCCAAGUUUAACGCAGAAAUUUUUGACCCAGCAUUCCGGUUCUGAAAAUAAAAGGGAAUUGAACAGAAAGAAAAAUAGUUAACUGGAUCACGAAAUAAAAGAUAUUUCUAGAUGGUAGCGCAGCGCUAGAUAAAGAAAUGUUUGCGGUCUUCAAAUGCCAGUGUGUGCGCAUCCGAUAACUAAAACCGGUCUUCCUCCGGCUAAGAAUAAAAUGUCUAUAGGACUUUAUUGUGUGGGUGUGGCCUCACAGCAGUAACGAUUUUAUUAAUUCUGUCUGUUAUUUUGGGUGAAACAUUCACAGGUGAGAACUUACAGCGCUAAAAGUCAUCAAUCUCAGCGUGAAAAUCUCUCGUGGAUAACUCAUCGUCUUUGUAAGUACUCCCUACUCGAUCCUUCACAUAGAAUCACAAACAUUUUUAAUUAACCGAUUCAAUUGCCAUAAAUAUGGUCAUUUUCUUUGAAUGAAUGAUAAGAAUUUCAGGUUUUCAAGGUCGUGAAUAGUUUGGCAUAAGCGUGACCCGAUCUAAUAUACUAACUCUGCUGCCGAAUAAAAUCAUUUGGUUCAAGAUACAGCGGCGCCCUGUUCAGAAGCGAAUAAAACUUCCAACAGAAAGCGGAAUGAUGAAGGAUAUAUAACGGUUCCCAGCACCGCCGCACAUGGAGAUUUUCCUAGUCGCCCAGCCGCUGAUGGCGUAUGUACGCAACAUUUUUUUGUAGAACUCUCACGUCGUGUCAAAACAGGUUUCUCGUCUAUAAAACGCUUAUACAAACAUGCGAGGGGCUAUAACAUCGAUCCAACUAGUCGCAAAAUUGCCAGUAGGUUUCUGGCUCUGGCUGUGAUAGUAUUUGACCUUUUUCUCAUGUUGGAUUGAUUUCGGUUGAUUUCAAUCGCAGUUUGGGUCGUAUAUGGUGAGGAUUGUGCGGAUUGGGUCAUUGUUACGUCAGUUGUUGGACAAGUUUC